AUUGACACGUUAAUAGCGUUCUUACGUUAAUAGCGUUCUUGAUAGAAGUCUUUUGUUUUGGCGUUGCUACUAGCGCCUGCUGUGAAACAACAGGAUCACACAGUGAUUGAUCUUCAGUCCUAGUGGAAAGGCGGCAAUCAAAAAUUCUCCUUUUUUUAUUCGUUUUAUAGAGUCGUGCCAUCUCUAAGAAGAAGAACUGCAGUUGUGUCUAUGGGAUGUGCUGAAGGCAAUCAUCAGAUGACUUCAAACAAAGAGCGUCCCAGUUGCACACCGACACCGUGCGCACGGGGCAAACGGCCAAUGCAUCAAAGCACUCUGACUCUUGGCGAUCAGACUAAAGACAUUUAUUCUACUACACAAGCAGAGUAUUUUUCUGGGAGAGGCCUCGAUGGUCAAGCGCUGGUGCUUCUGCCCCGAGAUCCAUGUCAUUCCUCUCAGUAUGAUGGAAAGCUGGAGCUCAGUCACAUCCCUGUGUCACGAGGAGGACAGACACACUCCAGAGAUGUACACGGCCCAAGGGACAUCAUACCACAUUACAUCCUGCACAGAGUGGGGUUACAGAACAGGACACAGAACAGGGAGGGGGUCGUGAUGAAAGAGGUCACCAACCCCGCCGAGGCCACACUGUACCAGACAACAUAUCAAACCGUGCACUGCACCACUUCCAAAAGAUAUCAAACAAAUGAAGCAUGUGGACAGCCAGUCCCCUGGCACAGGCAUAAUAUUAUCACAGGAGAGGAGAAGGCAGCAGCUGGGCCCGGGCCGGUCAGAAGACAGUCUGGGGAGAGCAUUCUGUGGGAAGCUCGGCGUUGGGAGAUGAACAGGGACUCUUUUCAUUUAUACUAA
rnacentral:lncRNA from 1 species